rnacentral:rRNA from 1 species
AGCGAACGCUGGCGGCAGGCUUAACACAUGCAAGUCGAGCGCCCGUAGCAAUACGGGAGCGGCAGACGGGUGAGUAACACGUGGGAACGUGCCUUUUGGUUCGGAACAACUGAGGGAAACUUCAGCUAAUACCGGAUAAGCCCUUACGGGGAAAGAUUUAUCGCCAAAAGAUCGGCCCGCGUCUGAUUAGCUAGUUGGUGGGGUAAUGGCCCACCAAGGCUACGAUCAGUAGCUGGUCUGAGAGGAUGAUCAGCCACACUGGGACUGAGACACGGCCCAGACUCCUACGGGAGGCAGCAGUGGGGAAUCUUGGACAAUGGGCGCAAGCCUGAUCCAGCCAUGCCGCGUGAGUGAUGAAGGCCUUAGGGUUGUAAAGCUCUUUCAGCGGGGAAGGAUAAAUGACGGUACCCGCAGAAGAAGCCCCGGCUAACUUCGUGCCAGCCGCCGCCGU